rnacentral:tRNA from 1 species
GGAGAGAUGGCUCAGUGGUUAAGAGAACUGACUGUUCUUCCAGAGGUCCUGAGUUCAAUUCCCAGCAACCACA